rnacentral:rRNA from 1 species
GACGAACGCUGGCGGCGUGCUUAACACAUGCAAGUCGAACGGAAAGGCCCUGCUUUUGUGGGGUGCUCGAGUGGCGAACGGGUGAGUAACACGUGAGUAACCUGCCCUUGACUUUGGGAUAACUUCAGGAAACUGGGGCUAAUACCGGAUAGGAGCUCCUGCUGCAUGUUGUGGGUUGGAAAGUUUCGGCGGUUGGGGAUGGACUCGCGGCUUAUCAGCUUGUUGGUGGGGUAGUGGCUUACCAAGGCUUUGACGGGUAGCCGGCCUGAGAGGGUGACCGGCCACAUUGGGACUGAGAGACGGCCCAGACUCCUACGGGAGGCAGCAGUGGGGAAUAUUGCACAAUGGGCGGAAGCCUGAUGCAGCAACGCCGCGUGCGGGAUGACGGCCUUCGGGUUGUAAACCGCUUUCGCAUGUGACGAAGCGUGAGUGACGGUAAUGGGUAAAGAAGCACCGGCUAACUACGUG